rnacentral:lncRNA from 1 species
UGUGCAGAUUAUUAGUUCUUUACAUCAUGUUUUAGAUGUAUAGAGAUAUCUAGUAGAUGUGUCUAAAAUCUUUUAUUUUAGCUCUUUGCUCUGUAGCUGUCACCUUGGAACCUCCUUCACCUCCAUCCUGGAAAGUGUGUUUCAGUCUGCAGAUUUAUAUCAAGUGCUAUCUUCAUGGCUGCCGACUUUGUCCUUCUGUGAAGGGACAGGAAGUACCCUUUAUUCUGUCGGUAGUUUUUAAUCUAACAUCAAAUUUGCCUAACAAUUUAGCUAAUGAAUUCGAGGUUUUCAGUUAUUCCUUUUGGAAAGUUGCAGAUUUUCUACCCCCAGAUAAGGAGACUGACUGUUCUAAUUCUAGGGCCUUCCUAUCUGACCCAUUCUUCUAUAUUUCUCCUU